UAUGAAAGUACACAAAAUAUAAAAAUCUUUUGAGAAAAAAAAAUGCAUUUCUAAUGCAUAAUGGGCCUUUAAGCCAGUGUAGAAUCUCAUGCUGAUUGUGUCAAAUAAUAUUAUGCUGUCCAGAGGCCUGCAUUAUACAUGUAAAAUUUCAUUUAACUCAUUCGAAAAAUCUAGUGAAUGAAGAUAUAGUGAUAUUCUUUUUAUUACAUACUCAAAACAAGAGGGCCAUGAUGGCCCUGAAAACGCUCAUCUGUAUAAAGGUCGCUGGGGCAGGUCAAUUUUAACCCAGGGACUUUUAUUCAAACAAACUUGGUGGACACUCACUAGAAGAUAUUUCAUGCUAACUAUCUAAACUCUAGUUCUUUGGGUUUUUUAAAAGAAGUUUUUUAAGUUUUUACUAUACACAUAUAAGCAGGGCUCGCGCUGGCAGAAGCCAAUGAGCAAAUUGGCUCCAAAAUUAUUAAAUUGGCUCAAGAAAAUCAUGAUUGGCUCCAACUUACGAAAAGUAUAACUUUUGGAAUAUCCAGUCUAAAUUUAGCAUUUGCUAUUUUAAGAAUGGAAAAGUACACAUUUGGUUUUCCAUUUACAACUUCCGCUUUACCGCUUCUUAUCACAAAACUCUGCGACACAGUCUCCUUUUUGUGGGGUCAUUGACUGGUCUAUAUUUGUUACUUCCCUUCCAAAUAAAAUAUCGUUAUAAACAGUAACACAGUCUAAUACACUGACCUCAUGGUAUGUUUACAUGUUUAUCAGCUGAUAAAUAUGACACUAAUUGGUGUGAAUUGUUGAAUGUGCACUGGAUAAUUGGUCUUUAAAUUCAAUAUGAAACAAUAACCAGCGGCAUCUUAAGAUUAUCGCCAAUCAUAUCGACAGUUUGGUUAUGAAAUAUACGACUUUACGAUACAGAUAGUCCUCAAACCAAAUCUUUGGCAUUAACCAAGCAAGCUGAAGCAGCACAUGUGGUUCUGAUGUCACUGUCAUGCCACUAACUUUGAUUGCUGACCAAAUUAGCCUGGAAAAUGUUAUUCUUAUAGCUACUGAGCUGCAAGCUUUUAUGAUCAGUUUUAAAGUGAUUAAAAUGUAGCUACCAAAAUAAAGUUGGAUAUACAUGUA